UACGUAGGGCGCAAGCGUUGUCCGGAAUUAUUGGGCGUAAAGAGCUCGUAGGCGGUCUGUCGCGUCUGCCGUGAAAACCCGAGGCUUAACCUCGGGCUGGCGGUGGAUACGGGCAGACUAGAGGUAGGUAGGGGAGAAUGGAAUUCCCGGUGUAGCGGUGAAAUGCGCAGAUAUCGGGAGGAACACCGGUGGCGAAGGCGGUUCUCUGGGCCUUACCUGACGCUGAGGAGCGAAAGCGUGGGGAGCGAACAGGAUUAGAAACCCUAG
rnacentral:rRNA from 1 species